GGGUUGUGAGGUUAAGCGACUAAGCGUACACGGUGGAUGCCCUGGCAGUCAGAGGCGAUGAAGGACGUGCUAAUCUGCGAUAAGCGUCGGUGAGGUGAUAUGAACCGUUAUAACCGGCGAUUUCCGAAUGGGGAAACCCAGUGUGA
rnacentral:rRNA from 1 species